ACCCUAGAUCGACCAGGCCGCCGCCAUCUCAUCUCCUCUUCCCACUGAUGGCGGGAGUAGCAGUGAAGACCGUUGCUCUGCCCAGCGACUUUGGACGGAAGAAAGUAGGCCGCGUCGGGUGUGGAUGUAUUCACCGAUGGGAUGGGCGAGGCUGCAUCAUGGUCAUGGACAAUCUCCCUUCUUACCCCCACCAAAAUUUCGUUUAUCUUUGAGCAGGCCAGAAAUAUGGUUUUUCUUUCUAUGUAAGACACCAGUUUUAAUGAUGAGAUCCGAGUUAUUUGGUCAAAUGGAAUUCUUUUCGGCUGAAGGAUAUUCGUCACUACUUAACAGUAGAUUGAUCCUGCUUAAAUUGCCUAUCUAAAUUGGCUUUCACAUGUACUGCAGCAGCAUCAUAGGAAUUAGUCAACCAAGGUUGAUGGAGUCCAACACAUCCUUGAAAUUACUCAAAGCAAGGUUGAUGCAGGUUAGUCACGUACACUUGCUGCUUGAAGUUUUAGCAGUCCGCAAUCUGGUGCUGAGAGAGUGGACAUCUAUAUCCUAACUGAAAGGCUUGGUUGGUCAUUGGUAAGGAAGGUGGGACCAUUAAGGCUCUAAAAGCUAAGCCCGGGGCUGGCAUACAGAAAUAAAAGCUGGAAUCAAAUAGAGGUUGCAAGAACAAUGAUCGUGGAACUCACUAUAUUGGCUAGGUUAAGUUUUGGGGGAUUUUUUGGUGAUAUUUCAUUGUUUGCUGCUCGUAAAGUUGCGCCUGUCUUGUUUUAGGAUUGUGCUUGCUGCCUGGAACCAUGUUUGCAGUUUCUUUGAUUCAAUCUUUUACUUCAGGUGAAGCCAUGUGGUAUACAUCUGUGUGUCUCGCUUAUGGGAUAAGUUGGUUUUAUUUUCUAUAAUAUAAGGGGAUCCAAAAUAUAGUCAAGCUCCAAUUUCAGCUAUAUUUACCAAAGCAACAUAAAUCUGCCUUGUUGGCAUUCUUCGUUCUUUCAAAUCCAAGUGCUAUAUUUUUGCCAGAAGAAACAUUAGACAACUUAGAACUACACAAGAGGGAAAUAAACUUUUUCCAUGCUUUACAAACAACACACAUGGCUCGUCUCUUUUGGCGAGCGAGUCAGGUCAUUUCUUUUGCUGUUAUGUCAUCUUAGCCGUUGCAGCUCAUUGUGGCACGUUUUAAUAUUGUCGAGUUAACUGAAUCUAUACGGUUUUAAUAUUAUUCAGGGUCUAAUGUGUUUCUCUAAAAUUAUCUGGAUUGACUGUAGUAUGGCUAUAUAGGCCCAAGGCAAUAUCAGGGCCCUAAUUUCUGCUCCAACUUAUGCUGAAGGCACCCAAACAUGAUCAACUAAAAUGGAUUUAGUGGUCUUAGUUUAUCUUUGCUGGGGCAGAUUGUUUUCUUCUAUCGUUUAAAUUCUAUGGUAUUAUGUGUUGACUUGUACUUCAUAGUCUGCAGUUUGGGUCUUUCAAUGAAGAGUAGCGUAUCCACUUCAGUUUUGCUUCCUAUUUAGCUCUGCAUUUACCGUCAUAAAUAUGUGUUACAGUAGCCUCGUGCUUUUUUACAACAUACUUAUAUGUGAAAGUUUGGCUUCGAAGCUCAGGCAGUGUUCUUUUUUCUGCAGAGAAAAGUGCAUCACAUGUCCUGAUUUCUUUAAAGAACUAUUUGGUUAUUUUGUCACAAGGAAUUAUUUGUUUAUUUUGAUUACGUUCGUUUCAUGAAGAGCAAAAGGCUGCAGACCAGAAAGAAAGGAGUUCUGUCGUUUUGGAUCCAUAUGAGUGCUCCUCUGCAUUGUCACUUCUUUUGCUUCAUUAUGAAUUGAGCUGUUGACCGGCCGCACUGGCCAUACGUAAUCUACAGUUCAGAACACCUUCUUUAGUGUGUGCCAAUCUAGGGCAUAUUAGUCCCAAGCAAUUACAUCCUAUAGUACCGUGCUAUUUACAAGGAUUAGGAAAGAGCUAUGAGUCAUUGUAUUCAAUUUGCCUGAAACAAGCCUCCUUCUUUGUAAAACUAAAAUAUAGAUGCCUUUAAAUCGCUAUGUUUAUAGCCAACUACCUGGUUCUGUCUGGCA